ensembl:lncRNA
AUCUCUCUCUCUCUCUCUCUCUCUCUCUGUCGCUAUUUUUAACAACAUUGACUUCUAUUUGUAGUUCCCCUUAUCAUCCAAGGAUCUCAUAGGGCUAUCUGUGUACAUAUAAAUGUACACAUAGCGCAGAAACAGAGUGUAUUAAGAACACAAAUUGCGGUUAAAUGGUAGCCUUAUGCCAUAAGGUACCACAAUUUUCAGCCGGACAGAUAGAACUCAAAGAAGUUUCUGUAGUCGGCUGAUACGUAUGUAGUAUGCACCGCAGCCAUAUUUGUAGUUCUUGGUAGUGCCCCCUACUCGUUAACACGAGAUUAUUCCCAAUUAUAUCUCAACAUCUCCAAAUGUACCACAAAUAUAUAACUAUUAUGAGUCCCAACUAGACGACCCCCAGCUUUCCAAGUAGCCGAUCUCUUGCAUUCGUACUAAAUUUGUUCUCUUUUCUCGUCAGGCCUUGGCAACCCGAGCAGUAAUGGAUGCCCGACAUUCAUCAUUUUUAAUCGUUAUCAUUACUACAAAUAUUCUCUUUUCUAAUCAGGGAGUGGCAACACAACGAUCACUUGCCCACGAUCAUCAUUUUACUUCUGUGCAUAAAAUAUUAAUUCUCUUUUCUCUUUAGGAGGUGGCAACACAAGCACAAAGGUGGCAACACAAGCAUUAUGGUUGCCAAACACUCAUCUUUUUACUUCUCUGCAUUGAUCUUAAUUCUUUCUCUCUCCAGGAAAUGGCAGUAUAAGAACGAAUGCCAAACACAGACAGUAAUUAUUAUUUUUUUCAGGUUGCUGAGCGCUUCUGUCUAUUCAACAUGCGUUUUGUGUAGCAAGACAGGUAGAGAACCAGGCUGGUUCAAAUAGACACGGGGUUCAACUACUAGAAUAAUAUGUCUAAUUAAUAAAUGGUACACAUGGUUUUAAACGGCGCCCAAGGAGGGAGUUAGCUCAACUGCGGUAGCACAAUUACAAUACGUUUUUUGCGAAUAUUAAAGGUACAUGGGUUAAAUUCUACAAUAAUCAGCUACUACAGACGAAUAGACUGAAUAACACUGCGUGAGGUGUUCAAAGGUCAACUAUUGCUUCCAUUGGAGCGAUUGCAAUAGAUAUAAUAUCAUACCACCAAUAUGCAUGCAAUAUCUUGUAUUCAACAAUUAGGAAUGCCGUUCCAGAACCGAAAGAAGUCCUACAAAAGGACACCAACCCAGGGUCUUACAUCAAACCAGAUCCCUAUACGACAGUUACACGGUGAUCUUAAGAUAGGAAUAAUUAUCUAAACUCCGCAUCAUGAACGGUUAGCCUUUAAAGUUGUCCAUAGCAUGCAUACCGCUCGUCCACAGAAGUCCGGGGAUUAACCAGGCCUGGGAAUUCUUAUUAGAAGAGUUUUGGGAUAACCUGCCUCAUAGGAGAGCAGAAGAGUCCCCCCCAAUAGAGGAUCCUGAGGACAAGCGGUAGAAAUGCAUAGUUCAACAAACCUGACGAGGUCCAAAAAUACCAAAAUAAGAACGAUUAAAAUAUAUAUUUCAUUACAAACUAUAAAAAACGUUACGUAACAACAGAAGUAUGAUGCCUAAUAUUGAAAUGCAGAUUUUUAAUAUUAAGAUAUUUUUGAUAAUGUUCAAAUUUAAGUUUUGUAUGUUUGUAUUUCCCCAUGUGGUCUUGUCACCCUGUUAUUCUGCAGGGUCGUUCAAAAUCCUUUGAGGUCCUAUGUUUCCAGAAGCAAGGUGAGUACAGUGUAUCACUCUGACACAGCUAACUUUGCAUCUAAUGCUUACGGUUAGAUUCAUGCUUACACUUACAUUUCUAGGGUCCCAUAAUGGACUUCCAUUAGAACAAUUAAAAAUAGAAUUAUAGGAAAUGUUUUUGAACAACUAACUGCUGUACAUGAGUUUUUAUUUCUACAAUAGAAACAAAAGUUCCAGAACCAAAUGCAGACACACCCGAGCCGAUAAACUGCCUCCGCCGAGCAAGGAGCAGUCACAUGAGGAGAUCAAAUAACGGCAGGAGUUGAAUUGGUUCUGUUUUGCUUGUCCACC